rnacentral:rRNA from 1 species
AGCUCCAAUAGCGUAUAUUAAAAUUGUUGCGGUUAAAACGCUCGUAGUUGGAUAUCUGCCAAGGGGUCUCGGUCCUUCCCAGUGAAGAAUACGCGAGACUCUUCUUGGCAUUUGUUCAGGGAAGGCGUUUGCACUUUAUUGUGUUGCGCGUGAUCUGAAUUUUUACUUUGAGGAAAUGAGAGUGUUUCAAGCAGGCUUUUGCCGUGAAUAUGAUAGCAUGGAAUAAUAGCAUAGGACCCCUUUCCGAAGCUGUUGGUUUUUGGAACGAGGUAAUCAGAAUAAGGAUAGUUGGGGGUAUUCGUAUUUAACUGUCAGAGGUGAAAUUCUUGGAUUUUUUAAAGACGAACUAUUGCGAAGGCAUCUGCCCAGGAUGUUUUUGUUG